rnacentral:rRNA from 1 species
UGGGGAAUUUUGGACAAUGGGGGCAACCCUGAUCCAGCCAUGCUGCGUGAGUGAAGAAGGCCUUCGGGUUGUAAAGCUCUUUCGGCGGGGACGAAACGGUCCGUGACAACACCACGGACUAAUGACAGUACUCGCAGAAGAAGCACCGGCUAACUACGUGCCAGCAGCCGCGGUAAUACGUAGGGUGCAGGCGUUAAUCGGAAUUACUGGGCGUAAAGCGUGCGCAGGCGGCUCCUUAAGUCAGAUGUGAAAUCCCCGGGCUUAACCUGGGAACUGCGUUUGAAACUGAGGGGCUAGAGUGUGGAAGAGGGGGGUGGAAUUCCAGGUGUAGCAGUGAAAUGCGUAGAGAUCUGGAGGAACACCGAUGGCGAAGGCAGCCCCCUGGGCUAACACUGACGCUCAUGCACGAAAGCGUGGGGAGCAAACAGGAUUAGAUACCCAGGUAGUCCCUGAGCGGGCUGGCAAGGCGCAU